GACGAACGCUGGCGGCGUGCCUAACACAUGCAAGUCGAACGGAAAGGCCCUGCUUUUGUGGGGUGCUCGAGUGGCGAACGGGUGAGUAACACGUGGGUAACCUGCCCUUGACUUUGGGAUAACUUCAGGAAACUGGGGCUAAUACCGGAUAGGAGCUCCUGCUGCAUGGUGGGGGUUGGAAAGUUUCGGCGGUUGGGGAUGGACUCGCGGCUUAUCAGCUUGUUGGUGGGGUAGUGGCUUACCAAGGCUUUGACGGGUAGCCGGCCUGAGAGGGUGACCGGCCACAUUGGGACUGAGAUACGGCCCAGACUCCUACGGGAGGCAGCAGUGGGGAAUAUUGCACAAUGGGCGGAAGCCUGAUGCAGCAACGCCGCGUGCGGGAUGACGGCCUUCGGGUUGUAAACCGCUUUCGCCUGUGACGAAGCGUGAGUGACGGUAAUGGGUAAAGAAGCACCGGCUAACUACGUG
rnacentral:rRNA from 1 species